rnacentral:tRNA from 1 species
GGGGACUUAGCUCAUUGGUAGAGCGCUUGCCUAGCAAGCACGAGUUCCUGGGUUCGGUCCUCAGCUCCG